rnacentral:tRNA from 1 species
UCCCUGGUGGUCCAGUGGCUAAGACUCCACGCUCCCAAUACAGGGGGCCCAGGUUCAAUCCCUGGUCAGGGAA